rnacentral:rRNA from 1 species
GACGAACGCUGGAGGCGUGCUUAACACAUGCAAGUCGAACGAUGAAAUGGAGCUUGCUUCAUGGAUUAGUGGCGAACGGGUGAGUAACACGUGAAUAACCUGCCCUUAAUUUUGGAAUAACUCAGGGAAACCUGGGCUAAUACCGGAUAAGUAAACCUGUGGCAUGCCAUGGUCUUGGAAAGUUUGUCGAUUAAGGAUGGAUUCGCGGCCUAUCAGCUUGUUGGUGAGGUAACGGCUCACCAAGGCGACGACGGGUAGCCGGCCUGAGAGGGUGAACGGCCACACUGGGACUGAGAAACGGCCCAGACUCCUACGGGAGGCAGCAGUGGGGAAUAUUGCGAAAUGGACGAAAGUCUGACGCAGCGACGCCUCGUGAGAGACGACGGUCUUCGGAUUGUAACCCUCUUUCAGCAGGGACGAAGCGAAAGUGACGGUACCUGCAGAAGAAGCACCGGCUAACUAUGUGCCAGCCGCCGCGGUAA